UAUCUAGAGGAUGUACUUUUUCUUUAGUGGCAUAGGACAUAGAGAAAUGAGCUAAGUCAGAGCCUCCCAGAUGGCAUAUCUUCCCACGUGCCCCGAGUUCCCCACUGAGAUUUCAGCUGCGGAUGACGCCCCUGGCGGAGUGUAAGAAUCCCUGUACCAUGGAGGCUUUCUUUUGCUUCCCAUUGUUCUGUUUCUGUGUUCCCCUAAAGUGCUGUUAACAGAUACAAGACAAUCCUAGCAUUUUCCUAAGCAUUUGUUGUAAAAUUAGGUAAUGUGAAGGUCUCCCAAAAAGCUUUCUUUGGCAGGAUAGAUUCCUAUUUGAGGUAAUUUUCUGUAAUGUACUAGAGCAAAUAGAGCCUCUACAAUGUAACACACUUGAACAUCCUCAAUGGCAAUGCGGAAGGACCUGACAGAACCUAGUAACCUGGACACGAGCACUUGCCAUCUUUGUUUUUAAUUGACUUGUAUGUGGAGCAUUUCAAUGAUUAAAAGAAACAUGACCCUCAAAGAAGAGGUAUCACACUUGUUGGGACCUGCACAAUUAGCAACCUGUCUUCUUUAGAGUUAGAAAUAUUGAAGUUCACAUAGGAUUUGGUUGUAACUAUGGGAGCCAUUUGGAAAUACAACUCUGAUGGCUUGGAUGGUGCUGCAUGAACAGAAGCUGAAUACCUCCCACCAGCCCAAUCUCCCCCUCCAUCUGUGGAAGGAGAAGGGGAGUGUGGUCGUUCUGCCUCCAUCAAGCACAUAAAUGUCCAAGGAAAAAUGCAGUUAAUCAAGUCACAAGAUGACUCAGCGCUCUUGUAAAUAUCGAGAAGAAACAUCUGAAAAUGUUUGCAAUAACAUUGGAUUGGAUUGGAGUUUCACAAUGGAUUCGAAUUGGAGCAAAAUAGCAACAAAUGGCAACUGUGAGGACAGGAAUUACCAUUAUACUAAUUAAAUUCA